CACCAUAUAUUUAAACCUAUGAAUGGGAAUUUGCCUCUUUCCUGGUUCCACUGUAGAGUGAAAGAAUUCCUGGCUCUUUCUGUUGCAGAGCUGACUUUGUGACAUUCUGCUGUUGCUGUACAGAGUUGGGUAACAUAC